rnacentral:misc_RNA from 1 species
GAUGAAGAACGCAGCGAAGUGCGAUAAGUAAUGUGAAUUGCAGAAUUCCGUGAAUCAUCGAAUCUUUGAACGCAUAUUGCACUUUCUGGUAUUCCGGAAAGUAUGCCUGUUUGAGGGUCAGUUAAAUAAAAAUCGGUGUUGUUGCUACUUUUAGUGGUGAUGCAUCGGAAUUGAGUUGUCUUUACCUUCGGUUAAAGUGACUUAAAAUUAUGUAUGAUUUUUGAACGUAUUUAAAUUGUUUACGUAUUUUCAUAAUAUCAUAUAUUAGGUGCGAUCAUUCUUAUGAUUUCGCGUCUAUAAUUUUUCAUUAUUUGACCUCAAAUCAGGUAAGAGUACCCGCUGAACUUAAGCAUAUCAAUAAGCGGAGGA